AUGGUCUUCCCAUUUAUAUAGGGGAGUGCAUGAGGCGGAGCUAAAGACAGUUCUCCACUUAAACUCCUGCAGCUGCCUGCAUCAGGUUUCUGUGUAUGUCAUAUGCAUUUAGGGAGAGAACUCAAUAUGUGAUUGACUGAUUGAUGGAAAGCCUCUUCCCACUAUGGGAGAGGAAGGUAGAUUUACUGCUUAGCUGUGAUUCAAAUGCAUGUUUUUGGUUUGACAGUCAGUGUCUGAAUCUUUGAAAAUAACUGAGCUGGUUUAGAAGGCAUUGGUGCUGAGCAGUUGGACAGACUGAAAUGCAUGAAGACUGGAGUUUUUCAAAGGGGCAGAGGCAUUCAGUGUCCAACUCUCAUUGAAUUUCAGUGGGAUUUGGACUUCUAAAAAGAACUUUGAAAAAGGUUUAGCUGUCCGAGGCAGAAGCCAUUUCCUUGAGGAGACCAAAGGACACAAAAUGUCGGUGAAAUUUCUUCCAGCUCACUUUUGAAAACAGAAGUUACUUCAGCCAGGCCUUCACUAUCAUCGUCACGGAACAUAUAAAACAAUGUACCUUGGUUUUCAAAGGCAAACUCAUAUUAACAUGUAAUGCACAGAUAUACCCAUGAUCUGUUAUUACCUGUCAAGGUAAAGGAUUUGAAUGCAAGCAUAUUCUGGAAGAUUUCUGCUAGCUAACAAUCUUUGACACAAGCUCUGGUGUCCCUCUAGUGAGAACAAGAAAUGUGAGGCACCUUUCAUGCCAAGGGUAUAAUAUUUUCCAUAAAACCAUACAAAUAUUUGUAUGUAACCUUGAAUUACUGAUCUUCUGGACCAACGGGAAGGUCUCUUCCUUCUCUGAGCCACGUUCAAUGAAGAAUGGAGGUAUUGGGACAGCUGGAGGUGCCUUUAAAGUUCACGCUUAUCACUAUUUACAGUGCCUCUAGAAAUUGUACAGGAAUUGACAUCUCUAAAAGGGGCCCUAAAAGGUGAAACAGGCUCUUUCCAAACACGUAAUCCUGAUGCUUACAGGCCAUUUUCCAAAAAUCCACUCUGUGAUUUCGAGGAUGACCGUAUUAUAAACAGAGACUCUUCAUCCAUAUUCUCCAUUCUAUUUGAGUCAGUGGCAUUUCAAUUAGCUUUAGCUUAGAUCUUCCAGCUACUAGUGAUAUACAGCAUCAGAGUUCUCUCGGCAUUCAAAAUACUAAUGAAGUGCACAGAUUAAACCCAUCAAAAGAGUGAGCUAUGCACACUUUCCUUCACCUAUACAAAGCUCCUUUUUUUUAAGGACAUUAACUUUGGAGUUAGAUUUUUCGGCUUUAGAUUUGUUUAGUGCUAAAUAAGUGUUGGCAAAACUAUGUUUAGCUACAAGUGCCAUGCUUAAAUAAAUAAGCAAACAAAAAAUUAAAGAAAACAAUUACUUCAUUUGUUACUGCAUGUAGGGACUGGUCUUUUCAUAACCAAUCUAAGUUGGCCACUUCUGUAUAAAAUACGCCUAACAUUCUUGUUCUGGGCAAGGGUCCCAGAGCUAUAA